rnacentral:tRNA from 1 species
UAUACUUUAGUGUAAGAAGCACAGAAAUUUUUGAUAUUUCAAGAGUAGUUUAAUUCUACAAUGUAUAA